UCCCUGAUAGCUCAGUUGGUAGAGCGACGGGCUGUUAAUCCGCAGGUCGCAGGUUCGAGCCCUGCUCGGGGAGCCA
rnacentral:tRNA from 1 species